UACGUAGGGCGCAAGCGUUGUCCGGAAUUAUUGGGCGUAAAGAGCUCGUAGGCGGCUUGUCACGUCGGGUGUGAAAGACCGGGGCUUAACUCCGGUUCUGCAUUCGAUACGGGCGAGCUAGAGUGUGGUAGGGGAGAUCGGAAUUCCUGGUGUAGCGGUGAAAUGCGCAGAUAUCAGGAGGAACACCGGUGGCGAAGGCGGAUCUCUGGGCCAUUACUGACGCUGAGGAGCGAAAGCAUGGGGAGCGAACAGG
rnacentral:rRNA from 1 species